GAUGAACGCUGGCGGCGUGCCUAAUACAUGCAAGUCGAGCGAACAGAUAAGGAGCUUGCUCCUUUGACGUUAGCGGCGGACGGGUGAGUAACACGUGGGUAACCUACCUAUAAGACGUGGGAUAACUUCGGGAAACCGGUAGCUAAUACCGGAUAACAUUUGGAACCGCAUGGUUCUAAAAGUGAAAAGUAUGGUUUUGCUAUCGACUUAUAGAUGGACCCGCGCCGUAUUAGCUAGUUGGUAAGGUAACGGCUUACCAAGGCAACGAUACGUAGCCGACCUUGAGAGGGUGAUCGGCCACACUGGAACUGAGACACGGGUCCAGACUCCUACGGGAGGCAGCAGUAGGGAAU
rnacentral:rRNA from 1 species